GAUGAACGCUGGCGGCGUGCCUAAUACAUGCAAGUCGAGCGAACAGACGAGGAGCUUGCUCCUCUGACGUUAGCGGCGGACGGGUGAGUAACACGUGGAUAACCUACCUAUAAGACUGGGAUAACUUCGGGAAACCGGAGCUAAUACCGGAUAAUAUAUUGAGCCGCAUGGUUCAAUAGUGAAAGACGGUUUUGCUGUCACUUAUAGAUGGAUCCGCGCCGCAUUAGCUAGUUGGUAAGGUAACGGCUUACCAAGGCAACGAUGCGUAGCCGACCUGAGAGGGUGAUCGGCCACACUGGAACUGAGACACGGUCCAGACUCCUACGGGAGGCAGCAGUAGGGAAACUUCCGCAAUGGGCGAAAGCCUGACGGAGCAACGCCGCGUGAGUGAUGAAGGUCUUCGGAUCGUAAAACUCUGUUAUUAGGGAAGAACAAAUGUGUAAGUAACUAUGCACGUCUUGACGGUACCUAAUCAGAAAGCCACGGCUAACUACGUG
rnacentral:rRNA from 1 species